AUGGAAGAGCAGAAUAUGUGCUGCAGAAAAUUUCUCAUUCAUCAUUACUCAUUCUUGACUGGAGACAAAAAGAUUAUUAUCCUGAAAGACCAGGCAGAACGCCAUCUAAUAACUAAUGAAAAUUUUCAGAGGAAUGUCCUUACAUUGCAGCUGUGCAAAAAUAUUUUCUUCAUUUGGAAACCAACCCAAGAUCACUUUUAUCUUUGUGCAGAUGACUCUCAUUUGGCCGACUCUUUCACGGAAGCUAUUCUGGAAAUUCUAGAAGAAACCUUCAAAGAGGGUGGUGAUUCAACGACACACAAUGAAAACACCUUGAGAAGUAAUACAAUAUCAACCUUUGAUGACUUUAUUACAGUUCAUUCUAUAGCCAUAUAUAAGAGAGAGCUGUGUCAGAAGUGGGUUCUGAUACCUACAUGAUAAGAGCAGGACUCAUUGGAAACCAGCAUGCCAUUCUGAUGCCACCAGUAUUGCAAUGUAAUUAUCAUUUCCGAGAAGGAAAAGAGAAAGAAGUGAACAUAAAGGCUACAGAGAAGUAAUUGCUGACAGUGCAAACAGAAAUAGAAACAACUGAAGUGCAAGAUAUGGAACCACUGAUAGCCAUAUAAAGUGACACUGAAGUACAUAAGUUGCCAUUGGGGAAAAGAGGAGAAAACGUAUUAAUAAAAACAGAAAUGUAGUUUGGGAACA
rnacentral:lncRNA from 1 species